AUUGAACGCUGGCGGCAGGCCUAACACAUGCAAGUCGAACGAGUGGCGGACGGGUGAGUAAUGUCUGGGAAACUGCCCGACGGAGGGGGAUAACUACUGGAAACGGUAGCUAAUACCGCAUACCAUCGGAUGUGCCCAGAUGGGAUUAGCUAGUGGGUGGGGUAACGGCUCACCUAGGCGACGAUCCCUAGCUGGUCUGCGAGGAUGACCAGCCACACUGGAACUGAGACACGGUCCAGCCUCCUACGGGAGGCAGCAGUGGGGAAUAUUGCACAAUGGGCGCAAGCCUGAUGCAGCCAGGCCGCGUGUAUGAAGAAGGCCUUCGGGUUGUAAAGUACUGUCAGCGAGGAGGCGUUACUCGCAGAAGAAGCCCCGGCUAACUCCGUGCCAGCCGCCGCGGUAAUUC
rnacentral:rRNA from 1 species